rnacentral:rRNA from 1 species
AUGGCCCCGCUGAGCGAGCACCAGAUGCGCCUCACGCGCGCCCUGGCCAAGAGGCCCAAGACCAAGAUGCUCACCGGGUUCGGCGUCAAACCCACCGCUGCUUUCUCCAAGCCGGCGCAGCUGCAGGCGCAGGCGCUGCUGCCCGGUGCGCAGCCGCCGCGGCGGCGCGUGCGCGUCCUGUACGAGGACCCCGACGCCACCGACUCGGACACGGACGACGAGGAGGCUGUCGCCGCCCCUGCUUCGUCCAAGCGCUGCUUCGAGCUGUUCCUUGGCAAGGCCCCGCCGGCCAAGGUGUUUGCCAAGCCGGUCACUCCGACCGCCGCGGCUUCUGCCGUCGCUGCCUGCACCACCAGCAGCGCCGAGGGCCACCGUGGGGUGCGCCUCCGCAAGUGGGGCAAAUGGGCGGCCGAGAUCCGCAACCCGUUCUCCGGCAAGAGGGAGUGGCUUGGCACCUUCGACACUGCCGACCUGGCCUCCGCCGCCUACCAGGCCGCCUCCCGGAGCUUUAUCGAGGAGAAGCGUCGCCGCCGUGGCCAGUCUGUGGCUGCGGCCUCACCUGCUCGGUCGGCUGCGUCAACAACACCGACGUCGUCUUCUACUACACCAACGGCAUCUUCGUCGUCCUCCACCUCGGCUGCUCCAUUCGCACACCCGUCGCCGUCCUCUGUCCUGGAGGCCACCAAGCCAGCAGCCGAGUCCCUGUCGCCUGAGCCGACCCCAGUUCCCGUCAUGUUGUCCACCACGGCUGAGACUGCGCAGCUUCCUGACGACCCAGAGUUCUACCAGGACCUCCUGCGUGGUCUCCAGCUGCCGGACAUCGACCCGAUGGACUUCCGCGCCGGGCUUGAUGCCUUGGACGUCUCCGAGGCGUCGGCUUACUUGGACGGCGAACAGGAUCUGCUGCUCGGUGACCUGGCCGACGAGGACCUCGAGCUGGACAUGGACCUCGACAUCGGCGACGACUUCCUGGAGAUGCCUGGCUGCGACUUUGGCCGGGGCAUGGAUGAUUUCCUGCAAACCGUCGAUUUCUGCGUGUGA